rnacentral:rRNA from 1 species
AACGAACGCUGGCGGCGGGGUUUAGGCAUGCAAGUCGAGCGAGAAAGGGGAAACCCGAGUAAAGCGGCGUAAGGGUGAGUAAUAGGUAGUUCACGUAUCCUUCAGACGCGGAUAAUUUUCCGAAAGGGAUUGUAAUACGCGAUGAGACCACGAUCGAUCCGUCGAUUGUGAUCAAAAGGUUCGGGAUCCUUCGGGACCGAGCGCUGUUGGAGCGGACGACCUCCGAUUAGCUAGACGGCGGGGUAACGGCCCACCGUGGCGAUGAUCGGUAGCCGGCCUGAGAGGGUGUCCGGCCACACUGGGACUGAGACACUGCCCAGACUCCUACGGGAGGCUGCAGUCGCGAAUCAUUCACAAUGGGCGCAAGCCUGAUGAUGCCACGCCGCGUGCGGGAUGAAGGCCC